rnacentral:rRNA from 1 species
ACAAUCAACGCUGGCGGCGUGCCUAACACAUGCAAGUCGAACGGGAAAGUGGAGCAAUCCAUGAGUAUAGUGGCGACCGGGUGAGUAACACGUGACUACCUGCCCUUGAGUGGGGGAUAACCUCGGGAAACCGAGGCUAAUACCGCAUAAUAUCUCAAGAUCUAAGGAGCAAUCCGCUUUUGGAGGGGGUCUAGGCUGAUUAGCUAGUUGGUAGGGUAAUGGCCUACCAAGGCAAAGAUCGGUAUCCGGCCUGAGAGGGCGCACGGACACACUGGAACUGAAACACGGUCCAGACUCCUACGGGAGGCAGCAGUGGGGAAUUUUGCGCAAUGGGGGAAACCCUGACGCAGCAACGCCGCGUGGAGGAUGAAGUCCCUCGGGACGUAAACUCCUUUCGAUCGGGACGAUAAUGACGGUACCGGAAGAAGAAGCCCCGGCUAACUUCGUGCCAGCAGCCGCGGUAAUACGAGGGGGCGAGCGUUGUUCGGAAUUAUUGGGCGUAAAGGGUGCGUAGGCGGUUUGGUAAGUCUUGUGUGAAAUCUCCGGGCUCAACUCGGAGCCUGCACGAGAAACUGCCGGGCUUGAGUGUGGGAGAGGUGAGUGGAAUUUCCGGUGUAGCGGUGAAAUGCGUAGAUAUCGGAAGGAACACCUGUGGCGAAAGCGGCUCACUGGACCACAACUGACGCUGAUGCACGAAAGCUAGGGGAGCAAACAGGAUUAGAUACCCUGGUAGUCCUAGCCCUAAACGAUGACUGCUUGGUGUGACGGGUACCCAAUCCCGCCGUGCCGUAGCUAACGCGUUAAGCAGUCCGCCUGGGGAGUACGGUCGCAAGGCUGAA